UGCGAAUUAUUUUAUUUGAAUAUUUAUUUUUGGUAUAGAAGGUUUUAUUUGCAA
rnacentral:tRNA from 1 species